rnacentral:rRNA from 1 species
UCUGGUAAUGAUGGCAGAGAGGCCACACCCGUUCCCAUACCGAACACGGAAGUUAAGCUCUCUAGCGCCGAUGGUAGUUGGGACCUUGUCCC